rnacentral:sRNA from 1 species
GCCAGGUGUGGUGGCUCACACCUGUAGUCCCAGCAACUUGGGAGACUGAGGCAGGAGGUUGCCAAGUUUGAAGCCAGCCUCAG